rnacentral:rRNA from 1 species
UACGUAGGCAGCGAGCGUUGUUCGGAAUUACUGGGCGUAAAGAGUGUGUAGGCGGUGCUCUAAGUCUGGUGUGAAAUCUCCCGGCUUAACUGGGAGGGUGCGCCGAAGACUGGAAGGCUUGAGUAUGGGAGAGGUAAGCGGAAUUCCUGGUGUAGCGGUGAAAUGACGUAGAUAUCAGGAGGAACACCUGCGGUGUAGACGGCUUACUGGACCAUCACUGACGCUGAGGCACGAAAGCGUGGGGAGCAAACAGG